rnacentral:lncRNA from 1 species
GUGACAGAGAGAGAGACAGACUGGAGCUCCACGUGAUUCCAACUACCUGCUUAAGAAGGGGAAUGAGAGCUCUGCCUUAAGGCGGUGACAUGUAAAUGGUACAAGCUGUGAAACAUACUCAGAGAUGGAGCCCCCGUGCACCUCUGCCAGCAGGACGCUCAACACACACGCUUCUCCAUGGGCUGCUUGUGGCUGGUGACAUUUCAAUUGUCUGAUGUGCCCCACAUUUGAUAUAAUAGAGAUGUUAAAUAUAAUGGAUGUUUUACUUUGUUUUGCAAAACUAAAAGGAUGAUUUACUAAGUCUGAAGUCAUGUUUAAACCAUUACUUUUGUAUGAGUUUCCCAAGGCAUCUUAAUGUUUAUGAGGUGACUGAUGAAUUUUACAUAGUUUAGUUUUUCAGUAUAAACUGUAGAUUUAAAGAUUUGGGAGUAAAACUUGCCAUCAUCCUGUCUCUAGAGAGCAGCAAAAAGAUGGGACAUUUGCACAAGAAGUUCCACUGAACUUCAAAGAAAUUUCCCCCAAGAAAGGAGGGGGUCACUCCCGUGGAUUAGUAUUAAGAUUGAACUUUUUUGACAUGUGUUAUAUAUUUGUACACCUUCUCUGGUAUUAUCUGUUUAAAUAUUUAUCAAAAAUUUACUCGAGAUAUUUAUUAUUGGUAUGUAAGAGCUCUGUAUUAAAGUUACGGGAGAGGAUGUCAAAAAUAACAUGAAAUAGAGGAAAUCUGUGGCCACUCAAUGCAAGGGGUAGAGCUCAGUAAUGUGUGAGGUCACUAGCAAUAGAAAAUUAGCACCAAAAUCUUGUUCAUUGUGAGGACCCUAAGUGAUUGAGAGGAAAUUAAAAUACAGAAGGAAUAAUUUCUUUACAUGUGAAUUAUGUAUUUUAGAAGGAAGCUUAUUGAAGUUCAUGGAGAUAAAAACGAGCGUUGAUGCUUAGGCCAGGGAAGGCAGUGCCUUCCAGUGGUCUGAGCAGCUACAGGAGAGACACAGACCACAGGUUCACUUGCAGAUGCACACACACCCCACAGGGGGCAGCAAGUCCGGAAAGUAGCACACGCUGUUUCCACCAUUUUUAUUUUAUAUAAACUGCAAUACCAUUAACAAGCAGACACUCAGUUAUGACUACAAAGUAAAGAUACACCUUAAUCUUUGAGAAAUAAUAAACUUUGGG